rnacentral:rRNA from 1 species
UGGCGGCGUGCUUAACACAUGCAAGUCGAACGGGAUCCAGAGCUUGCUCUGGUGAGAGUGGCGCACGGGUGAGUAACGCGUGGAUAACCUGCCCUGGUAUCUGGAAUAACAUCUCGAAAGGGUGCUAAUACCGGAUAAGCCUACGGAGCCUUCGGUCUCUGCAGGAAAAGGUGGCCUCUAUUUAUAAGCUACCGUAUCAGGAUGGGUCCGCGUACCAUUAGCUAGUUGGUGGGGUAAUGGCCCACCAAGGCGACGAUGGUUAGCUGGUCUGAGAGGACGACCAGCCACACGGGGACUGAGACACGGCCCCGACUCCUACGGGAGGCAGCAGUGAGGAAUCUUCCGCAAUGGGCGAAAGCCUGACGGAGCGACGCCGCGUGUGGGAUGAAGUCUUUCGGGAUGUAAACCACUGUCGGAGGGGAAGACAUCGACGGUACCCUCCAAGAAAGCCCCGGCUAACUACGUGCCAGCAGCCGCGGUAA